UACGUAGGGGGCAAGCGUUAUCCGGAUUUACUGGGUGUAAAGGGAGCGUAGACGGUCCUGCAAGCCAGAUGUGAAAGCCCGGGGCUCAACCCCGGGACUGCAUUUGGAACUGUAAGGCUAGAGUGUCGGAGAGGCAGGCGGAAUUCCUAGUGUAGCGGUGAAAUGCGUAGAUAUUAGGAGGAACACCAGUGGCGAGGGCGGCCUGCUGGACGAUGACUGACGUUGAGGCUCGAAAGCGUGGGGAGCAAACAGG
rnacentral:rRNA from 1 species